AUGAAAGAAUCUAAGAGAUCUCAAACACUCUUCCAUACACUUUUUCUUUCAAGGUCAUUCAAAAUUCUCAUGAUUCAUUCAAAGCUCCCUCUUGCUCAAGAUGUGGUUAUUCAAAGUUGCCAAGAUUUGAAUCUCAUUUCAAAGAAACUUAAUUUUCAAGCUCCAUCACAUUUUCAAGAUUUACAUCUUCGACUACAAACUGUACAAGUCCAAUUCAUGGCAAGCUUUGUUCCACCAAUAAAUUACAAGCAAAUACAAAGAGUUUAA